rnacentral:misc_RNA from 1 species
GUAUAGAUUUAUAGGCACAAAGGCCAUUUGGUUACAUUCUAUAACAUACAAUUGGGUAUAUGAAGAAGCAUAGACCGAGAAAUAUAAGGAAAGACAUAAGUCAAUCCCCAAACCUGAGUGUCUAGCAGUCAGAGAGAUAUCCAGGUCUACAAAAGGUGCACAGGUGGAGAUAUAAAGAUGACAAGUGUGCACAUGUUCCCUAGAGAACCAGCAACAACUUAUCAGAUUUAUUUCAAUAAUGAUCCUUCCGCAGGUUCACCUACGGAAA